UGAACAGUCCCUUACAAUUACAAUGGCUCAUGGUUAUUAUAAUAUUAAUUAAGGCUUUCUCCUUUCUUGCUCCUUUCAGGAUAGUUCUGGCAUAAUUUAGUCACUCUAAUGUCAUUCAUAACCUAACCUGGCAUUCUGUUAAAUGACACCACUAUGAGCUAAACAUCUCCUUUUGUGUUCCACAGAAUAAAGCAAGUCAUAUGGAUUUGGAACAACAUGCGGACGAGUAAAUCAUGGCAGAACUUUACUACUCCUGUAACCGCUACACUACACCACACCACCUAGGGAGUUAAUGCAGCAGACGCCCACAGAAAACGCAUCAGGCAGUCAACAGUGGCAACAUUUAAAUCUGAUGUAUCAUUUCUCUAGAAGAUCUUAUAAGAAUAAGCUGAUUUGUUUUGAAAGGAGUUCUUUUUUCAGCAUUUCCCUGCUUGGUUUCCUUUCAACAGCAGCAAUGGACAGGAAAAAUGGUCGGAUGAUUCUCAGGUGAUCAGGUUCACUGCAUCCUCAUGCCUGAUUUAACUUAUAAGGUUGGCCAGCACGGAGAUCUCUCCACCCUGUGGCUCUGUUGACUGAGUAAACUGUGUAGAGUGAAACUACAGCUGGCUAGAUCACAUGUUCCGGUACAAGAGGGAAAUUACUCAGGGAUAUUGACUACAAGUUGACUUUUUCACUGGAGAAUGCAGUGUUAUGGAUAGAGGACAGCUGUUUGAACUCUCAUUCUGACGGCACCCAUUCACUGCAGAGAAUUCACUGGGGGUCCUUGGGCAAUGUGAGGUAUUUCAUCCUGAGUCACGACCCUUAUUGCUGGAAUGUUGAAGAGGAAAAGGGGGUCCAGUAUCUCGCCAUAUAAAAGACCACCGCUCCAUAACAACUGACAGUCAGCAGUGCAGAAACUACAACAUGUCCUAAUUGGACUAACUGUUUACUAUGUGUAUUUGAAGAUAUGGAUAUGUAUGGGAGUAAACGUGCAGGUUAAUCAAUGUUCAGUGUAAUAUGGAGAUGGGAAAGCACCAGUAAGGUUUACACAGUGUCCAUAUGUUUCCUCAUCCCGUGUUUAUGAGUAUUUUGUUUUUUCUUUUUGAUAUUGAUAUGAAAGUCACAUGACCAAAACCAACCGAAAAGAAUGUAAUCUAAAAGAGAUCAGUCUGUGUCUUUUUGAAUUGAGAACCUUCAUUUUGGUAAAAAUACUCCUUAUAUGAGA